GAUGAACGCUGGCGGCGUGCCUAACACAUGCAAGUCGAGCGGCAGCGCACCCUUCGGGGUGGCGGCGAGCGGCGGACGGCUGAGUAACACGUAGGAAUGUACCCAAAGUGAGGAAUAACUGCCCGAAAGGGUAGCUAAUGCCGCAUAUGCUCUUCGGAGUAAAGGCUUCGGCCGCUUUGGGAACAGCCUGCGUACGAUUAGAUAGUUGGUGAGGUAAAGGCUCACCAAGCUACGAUCGUUAGCUGGUCUGAGAGGAUGACCAGCCAGACUGGAACUGAGACACGGUCCAGACUCCUACGGGAGGCAGCAGUGAGGAAUCUUCCACAAUGGGCGAAAGCCUGAUGGAGCAACGCCGCGUGCAGGAUGAAGGCC
rnacentral:rRNA from 1 species